rnacentral:rRNA from 4 species
AAAUUGAAGAGUUUGAUCAUGGCUCAGAUUGAACGCUGGCGGCAGGCCUAACACAUGCAAGUCGAACGGUAACAGGAAGCAGCUUGCUGCUUUGCUGACGAGUGGCGGACGGGUGAGUAAUGUCUGGGAAACUGCCUGAUGGAGGGGGAUAACUACUGGAAACGGUGGCUAAUACCGCAUAACGUCGCAAGACCAAAGAGGGGGACCUUCGGGCCUCUUGCCAUCAGAUGUGCCCAGAUGGGAUUAGCUUGUUGGUGAGGUAACGGCUCACCAAGGCGACGAUCCCUAGCUGGUCUGAGAGGAUGACCAGCCACACUGGAACUGAGACACGGUCCAGACUCCUACGGGAGGCAGCAGUGGGGAAUAUUGCACAAUGGGCGCAAGCCUGAUGCAGCCAUGCCGCGUGUAUGAAGAAGGCCUUCGGGUUGUAAAGUACUUUCAGCGGGGAGGAAGGUGUUGUGGUUAAUAACCACAGCAAUUGACGUUACCCGCAGAAGAAGCACCGGCUAACUCCGUGCCAGCAGCCGCGGUAAUACGGAGGGUGCAAGCGUUAAUCGGAAUUACUGGGCGUAAAGCGCACGCAGGCGGUCUGUCAAGUCGGAUGUGAAAUCCCCGGGCUCAACCUGGGAACUGCAUUCGAAACUGGCAGGCUUGAGUCUUGUAGAGGGGGGUAGAAUUCCAGGUGUAGCGGUGAAAUGCGUAGAGAUCUGGAGGAAUACCGGUGGCGAAGGCGGCCCCCUGGACAAAGACUGACGCUCAGGUGCGAAAGCGUGGGGAGCAAACAGGAUUAGAUACCCUGGUAGUCCACGCCGUAAACGAUGUCUACUUGGAGGUUGUGCCCUUGAGGCGUGGCUUCCGGAGCUAACGCGUUAAGUAGACCGCCUGGGGAGUACGGCCGCAAGGUUAAAACUCAAAUGAAUUGACGGGGGCCCGCACAAGCGGUGGAGCAUGUGGUUUAAUUCGAUGCAACGCGAAGAACCUUACCUGGUCUUGACAUCCACGGAAGUUUUCAGAGAUGAGAAUGUGCCUUCGGGAACCGUGAGACAGGUGCUGCAUGGCUGUCGUCAGCUCGUGUUGUGAAAUGUUGGGUUAAGUCCCGCAACGAGCGCAACCCUUAUCCUUUGUUGCCAGCGAUUAGGUCGGGAACUCAAAGGAGACUGCCAGUGAUAAACUGGAGGAAGGUGGGGAUGACGUCAAGUCAUCAUGGCCCUUACGACCAGGGCUACACACGUGCUACAAUGGCGCAUACAAAGAGAAGCGACCUCGCGAGAGCAAGCGGACCUCAUAAAGUGCGUCGUAGUCCGGAUUGGAGUCUGCAACUCGACUCCAUGAAGUCGGAAUCGCUAGUAAUCGUGGAUCAGAAUGCCACGGUGAAUACGUUCCCGGGCCUUGUACACACCGCCCGUCACACCAUGGGAGUGGGUUGCAAAAGAAGUAGGUAGCUUAACCUUCGGGAGGGCGCUUACCACUUUGUGAUUCAUGACUGGGGUGAAGUCGUAACAAGGUAACCGUAGGGGAACCUGCGGUUGGAUCACCUCCUUACCUUAAAGAAGC